CUGGGAGCCGGGCAGCGGCAGGCGAGCGGCCGCGUCUUCGGGACCCUGCUGCAGUGUCCCCGUGGCCCGCGGGCCAGCGUCACCCAGGAGGUGGGAGAAACCACGAACUUGACAUUGCCACAAUGCUGUAAACUCUGGCUCGCAUCAGCCGUGACACCUGACCCACUUAGUACAUCUCAGCUGCCUUGCCUGCUGCAGGAGUGAGUGACUGGUGCCCUCCUCGGACAGCUGCUGGCAAUUGGAAACAAAUCCCACAAGCGCAGUGAUGAAACCCACAGAAACUCAGCCACUGGUUGUUCUGGAGACUGGAAGUCCACGCUGUGGGAACUGUGGAGAAGGUUCACCUAGCCAGAAAGGGGAAAGAUAAAGUCAAAGAUGAGAACAAGAAGGAAAUCAUGAUUUAAGGUGUUGAACCAUCAUGAAAUCACAAACACAGACAAAACAAUGGAAGGAAAGAUCAUGCACUACCCAAGAGCCUCAAUAUGCAUCUAUCUAUCGAAGACAGGCCCAAGGGACUCAGAACGAAA
rnacentral:lncRNA from 1 species